rnacentral:rRNA from 1 species
AACAGGAUUAGAUACCCUGGUAGUCCACGCCGUAAACGAUGUCGACUUGGAGGUUGUGCCCUUGAGGCGUGGCUUCCGGAGCUAACGCGUUAAGUCGACCGCCUGGGGAGUACGGCCGCAAGGUUAAAACUCAAAUGAAUUGACGGGGGCCCGCACAAGCGGUGGAGCAUGUGGUUUAAUUCGAUGCAACGCGAAGAACCUUACCUACUCUUGACAUCCAGAGAACUUAGCAGAGAUGCUUUGGUGCCUUCGGGAACUCUGAGACAGGUGCUGCAUGGCUGUCGUCAGCUCGUGUUGUGAAAUGUUGGGUUAAGUCCCGCAACGAGCGCAACCCUUAUCCUUUGUUGCCAGCGGUUAGGCCGGGAACUCAAAGGAGACUGCCAGUGAUAAACUGGAGGAAGGUGGGGAUGACGUCAAGUCAUCAUGGCCCUUACGAGUAGGGCUACACACGUGCUACAAUGGCGCAUACAAAGAGAAGCGACCUCGCGAGAGCAAGCGGACCUCAUAAAGUGCGUCGUAGUCCGGAUUGGAGUCCGCAACUCGACUCCAUGAAGUCGGAAUCGCUAGUAAUCGUGGAUCAGAAUGCCACGGUGAAUACGUUCCCGGGCCUUGUACACACCGCCCGUCACACCAUGGGAGUGGGUUGCAAAAGAAGUAGGUAGCUUAACCUUCGGGAGGGCGCUUACCACUUUGUGAUUCAUGACUGGGGUGAAGUCGUAACAAGGUAACC